AGCUUGCUUUUCUUUUCUUAGUGGCGGACGGGUGAGUAACACGUGAAGAACCUGCCUUACAGAGGGGGACAACAGCUGGAAACGGCUGCUAAUACCGCAUGACACAUUGGGGUCGCAUGGCCCUGAUGUCAAAGAUUUAUCGCUGAAAGAUGGCCUCGCGUCUGAUUAGCUAGUUGGUGAGGUAACGGCCCACCAAGGCGACGAUCAGUAGCCGGACUGAGAGGUUGACCGGCCACAUUGGGACUGAGAUACGGCCCAGACUCC
rnacentral:rRNA from 1 species